UACGGAGGGUGCAAGCGUUAUCCGGAUUUAUUGGGUUUAAAGGGUGCGCAGGCUGGCUUGUCAGUCAGUGGUGAAAUCCCGGGGCUCAACCCCGGAACUGCCAUUGAUACUGCAAGUCUUGAAUACGGUUGAAGUAGGCGGAAUGUAGCAUGUAGCGGUGAAAUGCAUAGAGAUGCUACAGAACACCGAUCGCGAAGGCAGCUUACUAAGCCGAUAUUGACGCUCAGGCACGAAAGCGUGGGGAGCGAACAGG
rnacentral:rRNA from 1 species